rnacentral:rRNA from 1 species
AGGGAAUCUUCGGCAAUGGACGGAAGUCUGACCGAGCAACGCCGCGUGAGUGAAGAAGGUUUUCGGAUCGUAAAGCUCUGUUGUAAGAGAAGAACGAGUGUGAGAGUGGAAAGUUCACACUGCGACGGUAUCUUACCAGAAAGGGACGGCUAACUACGUGCCAGCAGCCGCGGUAAUACGUAGGUCCCGAGCGUUGUCCGGAUUUAUUGGGCGUAAAGCGAGCGCAGGCGGUUAGAUAAGUCUGAAGUUAAAGGCUGUGGCUUAACCAUAGUACGCUUUGGAAACUGUUUAACUUGAGUGCAAGAGGGGAGAGUGGAAUUCCAUGUGUAGCGGUGAAAUGCGUAGAUAUAUGGAGGAACACCGGUGGCGAAAGCGGCUCUCUGGCUUGUAACUGACGCUGAGGCUCGAAAGCGUGGGGAGCAAACAGGAUUAGAUACCCUGGUAGUCCACGCCGUAAACGAUGAGUGCUAGGUGUUAGACCCUUUCCGGGGUUUAGUGCCGUAGCUAACGCAUUAAGCACUCCGCCUGGGGAGUACGACCGCAAGGUUG